AUGCUUUAGCUGCCUAAGCAGCAACAAGCACAGUCGUCCUAGCUGGUAACGGCUAGUGAUUAUAAUUGGGUGAAUUGCUGGAAACCCCUAAGAGCUUUUCUUACCACAGCGUAGUUGGAAACAACAGGCGCAACGGUUUAAAAAAAGAAAAGAUUGGGCAAUCAGCAGCUAAGCUCCUGUGAGGAAACUCUGGAGAAAGUUCAACGACUAAGAUAGACCGUCUAAGGCAGCCUGCUAUGACGAUGAAAUCUGUAGGAUAAAAAUCUGCUGUUCCGCUUAUUUAUAUCCGAAGUGCCCAACCCCUACUUUUUUUGAGAGGGUGAAGAUAUAGUCUAGUCAUUUGUAAAAGCAAAUG
rfam:Bacillus megaterium QM B1551, complete genome.